AGAGUUUGAUCAUGGCUCAGGACGAACGCUGGCGGCGUGCUUAACACAUGCAAGUCGAGCGGUAAGGCCCUUUCGGGGGUACACGAGCGGCGAACGGGUGAGUAACACGUGGGUGACCUGCCCUCAGCUCUGGGAUAAGCCCGGGAAACUGGGUCUAAUACCGGAUAUGACCUUCCAUCGCAUGGUGGUUGGUGGAAAGUUUUUUCGGCUGGGGAUGGGCCCGCGGCCUAUCAGCUUGUUGGUGGGGUGAUGGCCUACCAAGGCGACGACGGGUAGCCGGCCUGAGAGGGCGACCGGCCACACUGGGACUGAGACACGGCCCAGACUCCUACGGGAGGCAGCAGUGGGGAAUAUUGCGCAAUGGGCGAAAGCCUGACGCAGCGACGCCGCGUGGGGGAUGACGGCCUUCGGGUUGUAAACCUCUUUCGACCUUGACGAAGGCCUUCGGGUUGACGGUAGGGGUAGAAGAAGCACCGGCCAACUACGUGCCAGCAGCCGCGGUAAUACGUAGGGUGCGAGCGUUGUCCGGAAUUAUUGGGCGUAAAGAGCUCGUAGGCGGUCUGUCACGUCGGUCGUGAAAACUUGGGGCUUAACCCUGAGCUUGCGGUCGAUACGGGCAUGACUUGAGUUCGGCAGGGGAGACUGGAAUUCCUGGUGUAGCGGUGAAAUGCGCAGAUAUCAGGAGGAACACCGGUGGCGAAGGCGGGUCUCUGGGCCGAUACUGACGCUGAGGAGCGAAAGCGUGGGGAGCGAACAGGAUUAGAUACCCUGGUAGUCC
rnacentral:rRNA from 1 species